ACCGGCUGUGACAAUGUCACCGUGAUGGACAGUUCAUUCUCGCCCGCUGGCCGAGUACGAGAACUGCGGGAAGUGCGGUCGCCUCUCGUUGUCCAGACAGUCCAUUCCAUCCUCAUCGACUAAUGAGGGGAAGAUUCACAACCUGAACUCACCAACACCACAGCGGACAUGGUGGUGGCGAUGUUAUGCUGUGGGCAUCCGGAGCUACAAUGGAAUGUCUUGGAUCAUGUGUUAGAACAGAACAAAGUCCAGACCUGUCUAGAAAUCCAUGGCAAGACUGAAAAAUUUAUGUUUCACACAGUCCGGGUCAAAGGUCACAGUUAUGUUCUGCUUCAUACGGCUCUACAAUAUAAACUCCUAAUAAAAUACAUGUGACAGAAUGUGGAGAAAAAAAAAAGUUGAAGUGGUCUUAAUUCUCCUGCGAGGCGCCGCGCGUGGAAGUAAAUAAGUGAGUUAUGAGAGAGAUUUUUUUUUUUUUUUUUUUAAUGUGUGAAUAUGUUUGCGUGUGAAUCAAGCUGGUCACCCA